rnacentral:tRNA from 1 species
AAAAAUUAACAUAUUUUUAAUGUAUCUCACUUACGUUGAGAAGAUAAUUUUUAAUAAAUUAUUUUUGA